rnacentral:rRNA from 1 species
GACGAACGCUGGCGGCGUGCUUAACACAUGCAAGUCUACGGGAAAAGGGUAGCAAUACCCUGAGUAUAGUGGCGCACGGGUGCGUAACACGUAAGCAAUCUACCUUUAGAUGCGGAAUAACGUCGAGAAAUCGGCGCUAAUACCGCAUAAUGCAGCGGCAUCGCAUGGUGAUGUUGUUAAAGUCUAUAUGACGUCUAAAGAUGAGCUUGCGGCUGAUUAGCUAGUUGGUGAGGUAACGGCCCACCAAGGCAACGAUCAGUAGCUGGCCUGAGAGGAUGAUCAGCCACACUGGAACUGAGACACGGUCCAGACUCCUACGGGAGGCAGCAGUGAGGAAUAUUGGGCAAUGCCCGUAAGGGUGACCCAGCAACGCCGCGUGGAGGAUGAAUGCCGUAAGGUUGUAAACUCCUGUUAGUGGGGACGAAUAACUCCGAUCGACUCGGAGCUUGACGGUACCCACAGAGGAAGCCCCGGCUAACUACGUGCCAGCAGCCGCGGUA